CCUACGGGAGGCUGCAGUGGGGAAUAUUGCACAAUGGGGGAAACCCUGAUGCAGCGACGCCGCGUGAGUGAAGAAGCGUUUCGGCGCGUAAAGCUCUGUCAGCGGGGAAGAAACACGGUUCGCGAGAGCCGCGGACGGUACCCGACCAAGAAGCCCCGGCUAACUACGUGCCAGCAGCCGCGGUAAUACGUAGGGGGCAAGCGUUAUCCGGAUUCACUGGGUGUAAAGGGAGCGUAGACGGCGAGACAAGUCUGGAGGGAAAGGCCGGGGCCCAACCCCGGGAACGCCCUGGAAACUGCCUGGGGUGAGGACAGGGGAGGGAAGUGGGAAUCCUAGUGGUGCGGGUGAAUGGGGUGGUAGUAGGAGGAACACCAGGGGCGAAGGGGGCUUACUGGA
rnacentral:rRNA from 1 species